UCCUAGCCGUAAACGAUGGUUACUGGGUGUGGGUGGUUUUCCAUCCGUGCCGAAGCUAACGUGAUAAGUAACCCGCCUGGGGAGUACGGUCGCAAGACUGAAACUCAAAGGAAUUGACGGGGGCCCGCACAAGCGGUGGAGCACGUGGUUUAAUUCGAUGCUAACCGAAGAACCUUACCUGGGCUUGACAUGCUGGUAGUAGGAGCCCGAAAGGGUGACGACCCCUUGGGAAA
rnacentral:rRNA from 1 species